CCAACAUGGACACCCCAGGAGGUCACUCUCCCUGGGCUCUGUUUAAGUGGCCCAGAAGAGAACAGGGUUCUGUCCCAUGAUGUACAGUCCCUUUCACAAUGGUGGAGAUAAAAACGGGCUUUGUGUCUGCACUUGCUUAUUCCUACAACUGCUCAGUCCUGUGAACAAUGAUUGAGAUAACAAACCACGGAGUGAAUGUCU
ensembl:snoRNA SNORA73 Small nucleolar RNA SNORA73 family